CGUAGCCGACCUGAGAGGGUGAUCGGCCACACUGGAACUGAGACACGGUCCAGACUCCUACGGGAGGCAGCAGUAGGGAAUCUUCCGCAAUGGGCGAAAGCCUGACGGAGCAACGCCGCGUGAGUGAUGAAGGUCUUCGGAUCGUAAAGCUCUGUUGUUAGGGAAGAACAAAUGUGUAAGUAACUAUGCACAUCUUGACGGUACCUAACCAGAAAGCCACGGCUAACUACGUGCCAGCAGCCGCGGUAAUACGUAGGUGGCAAGCGUUAUCCGGAAUUAUUGGGCGUAAAGCGCGCGUAGGCGGUUUUUUAAGUCUGAUGUGAAAGCCCACGGCUCAACCGUGGAGGGUCAUUGGAAACUGGAAAACUUGAGUGCAGAAGAGGAAAGUGGAAUUCCAUGUGUAGCGGUGAAAUGCGCAGAGAUAUGGAGGAACACCAGUGGCGAAGGCGGCUUUCUGGUCUGUAACUGACGCUGAUGUGCGAAAGCGUGGGGAUCAAACAGGAUUAGAUACCCUGGUAGUCCACGCCGUAAACGAUGAGUGCUAAGUGUUAGGGGGUUUCCGCCCCUUAGUGCUGCAGCUAACGCAUUAAGCACUCCGCCUGGGGAGUACGGUCGCAAGACUGAAACUCAAAGGAAUUGACGGGGACCCGCACAAGCGGUGGAGCAUGUGGUUUAAUUCGAAGCAACGCGAAGAACCUUACCAAAUCUUGACAUCUUUUGACCACUCUAGAGAUAGAGUUUUCCUCUUCGGAGGACAAAAUGACAGGUGGUGCAUGGUUGUCGUCAGCUCGUGUCGUGAGAUGUUGGGUUAAGUCCCGCAACGAGCGCAACCCUUGAGCUUAGUUGCCAUCAUUAAGUUGGGCACUCUAAGUUGACUGCCGGUGACAAACCGGAGGAAGGUGGGGAUGACGUCAAAUCAUCAUGCCCCUUAUGAUUUGGGCUACACACGUGCUACAAUGGACAAUACAAAGGGCAGCAAAACCGCGAGGUCAAGCAAAUCCCAUAAAGUUGUUCUCAGUUCGGAUUGUAGUCUGCAACUCGACUACAUGAAGCUGGAAUCGCUAGUAAUCGUAGAUCAGCAUGCUACGGUGAAUACGUUCCCGGGUCUUGUACACACCGCCCGUCACACCACGAGAGUUUGUAACACCCGAAGCCGGUGGAGUAACCAUUUGGAGCUAGCCGUCGAAGGUGGGACAAAUGAUUGGGGUGAAGUCGUAACAAGGUAGCCGUAUCGGAAGGUGCGGCUGGAUCACCUCCUUU
rnacentral:rRNA from 1 species